AGCUUCCCGCAGCGCUUAAAUAUCCCGCGCGGUGCCUCAAUUAUUAGCGCAGCGUCUUAGAUCAGUAAGCGAUUUCAUCCCCGUGAGAUACCUCAGGUAAAAUCGAUCGGGGUAGUUUAUAUGAAUACACAGUGUAGCUAGCUGUUUACCGUGUACUGAUACGGGUUUAAAUACGACACGUGUUGAUGAAAGUCUGUGUUUUCACAAGUUUGGGAACAGGAGUGAUUGGAAUAUAAUUAGUUAAGGAUUAUAAUUAGUCUCUGCAAAGAAAUGGGAUAACAGUUGGUGGCGGCAUGCAUGGGCUCUUUCAUCACACUUCUCCCUUGAAGAAGACUGGGCGGUUAUUGAAUGGGCACAGGCGAAAGCCACCCUUACCACAGAUGAACACUUUGAGCACAAUGGAGUGGAUUAUUGGUAAUCUGUCCAAGUCUCACCCAAACCUGUGCAAAGUCGCUACAGUGGGACUGCUUCUACCAACCUCCACAGCUGAUUGUGAGAAAGGUUUCAGCAGUUGAAUGUGUAAAGACCACCCACCAUUCACCAGUGAGCCUGUAAGUGCUUAAUGCCUUACUCAUGGUGUCCAUGCAGGGACAAAAAAUGAAUGACUUUAAUUUCAGUGGUGCAGUAAAGGAAUGGAACAGUGCCAAAGACAAGACACUUAUAUGUUGUUAGUGUUAGUACAAAAGAAGUGGAAGGACAUAUGUGUUGUUCGAAAAUACUUAUAAAAGAAGUGGACAUCUGUGUAGUGUAUAUGAUAUAUUGAUGGUUAUAUGAUUAUGUGAAAAU
rnacentral:lncRNA from 1 species